GACGAACGCUGGCGGCGUGCUUAACACAUGCAAGUCGAGCGGUAAGGCCCUUUCGGGGGUACGACGAGCGGCGAACGGGUGAGUAACACGUGGGUGACCUGCCCUCAGCUCUGGGAUAAGCCUGGGAAACCGGGUCUAAUACUGGAUAUGACUCCAUGACGCAUGUUGUGGGGUGGAAAGCCUUGUGCGGCUGAGGAUGGGCCCGCGGCCUAUCAGCUUGUUGGUGGGGUGAUGGCCUACCAAGGCGACGACGGGUAGCCGGCCUGAGAGGGCGACCGGCCACACUGGGACUGAGACACGGCCCAGACUCCUACGGGAGGCGAGCAGUGGGGAAUCUUGCGCAAUGGGCGAAAGCCUGACGCAGCGACGCCGCGUGAGGGAUGACGGCCU
rnacentral:rRNA from 1 species